AGUUCUGUCCUUAAUCUUUCCAAGCGCCCACUUUUGAUCACCUCCGUAGUCCCUCACCAGGACGGUUUGUCCAGUAAAACUUCGAACCUUCUUGUUUGAGGAGUCCUCGAUUUGCCUUGGGUUUGUCCUGCAUUCUCCUUCUGAGACUGGGUUUGAGAAGAUCCAAGUGUGAGUACAAGGGACGACCCAGGAACAGCAUAGCUGACCAGUAAGCAACCUUAAUAUGCGAAUGCGAGAAACUGAAGAUGCUACAAUGUGGGGCAACACUCAAAAUGCUGGGGGAAGUCAGUGGGUCAGGAAGCAUCUGGAUCGUGAUGAGACUUUCCUUGUACUGUGAUGUGGCUCUGCUGAAAAGAACUGUGAAAUACUUGAGCAGCCUUCCCUGCGAUUAGCCUCCCUAAUAUGUUGUGGUCCCUAAAAGAAAUAAAAGCAUAAGGUGUAUCCUUAUGUAAUACUUUGUUUAGUGAUUUUGUUUAAUCUGUAAACCAAUCUGUAAUCUGUAA